CUUGCAGUAUGUAGAAUUCAUACGCGGCAGGAGGGAAUUCAGUUAAGUAUUUCCAAUGGAACACUGGUUCCCUUCUGCGGCAUAUUAAUUCUGCAGGCCAGCACUUUUCAUGUCUUACCUAUUUAAUUAAGGAAGGUAAUUACAUCUAAGAAAAUAGUAGACGUGCGUAGAAAUCACCGAAUCAAUCGGUCUGGGGUUUACGUGACAGACCGAUUUGUUCAGUGCAAAUAGAGUGUAUCUGAUGACGUUACACAACGUUCUAUUCACUUAACAACGAAUUGGGAAGGCUUAGAGCAGGCUUCCCCAAACGCCGGCCC